AGAACGAACGCUGGCGGCGUGUUUAAGACAUGCAAGUCGCACGGGGAAUAUGAAUAGCUUGCUAAUUGUAUUCUUAGUGGCGCACGGGUGAGUAACACGUGAAUUACAUGCCCUUCAGUGGGGAAUAACCGGCCGAAAGGCUGACUAAUACCCCAUAGUCUCGCAAGAGUAAAGGUGGCCAGCAAUGGCUGUCGCUGAAGGAUUGGUUCGCGCCCUAUCAGCUUGUUGGCGGGGUAACGGCCCACCAAGGCUACGACGGGUACCUGGUCUGAGAGGACGAUCAGGCACACUGGAACUGAGACACGGUCCAGACACCUACGGGUGGCAGCAGUCGAGAAUAAUUCACAAUGGGGCAACCCUGAUGGUGCAACGCCGCGUGGAGGAUGACGGUCUUCGGAUUGUAAACUCCUGUCAUCGGGGAGUAAGACUUGGCUGUUAAUAGCAGACAGGGUUGAUAGUACCGAAGAGGAAGGACGGCUAACGUUCGUGCCAGCA
rnacentral:rRNA from 1 species